GAUCAACAGACUGAUGCAGUUUGUGGAGGCAGAGCCUGUCAGCUUGGGAAUGGAGGAGGUUUUCGAUGUCCUGCUGCUCUAUGGUGUGCUGCAGCCAGGCGAGAGCCAGCAGGUCACGUUCACCUUCUUUGGCCACACAAAUAUCGCCGCCCGUGUCACGGCGCUGUGCAAGGUGGAGGGAGUCCCGACCUACGAGAUCGCGCUGAGCGGGGAGGCUUCGCUCAUCAACUAAGUCCUAGACGUCACGGAGAUCGACUGCGGGCUGCAGCUGUUUAACAAAGUCAUCGAAGCAGAGGUCACCCUGCGGAACAGCGGGAAGAUGGGAUUCACCUACAAGGUGCUGAAGCUCAGCGCGGGCACCGCAGACAGGACCCU